rnacentral:sRNA from 1 species
GCCGGGUGUGGUGGUGCGCACCUGUAAUCCCAGCUACUUGGGAGGCUGAGGCAGGAGAAUCACUUGAACUCGGGAGGCAUUGGUUGCAGUGAGCCAAGAUUGUGCCACUGCGCUCUAGCCUGGGCAACAGAGCAAGACCCUGUCUCAA